AUCAACUUUCGAUGGUAGGAUAGAGGCCUACCAUGGUGGUAACGGGUAACGGGGUGUUAGGGCACGACACCGGAGAGGGAGCCUGAGAAACGGCUACCACAUCCAAGGAUGGCAGCAGGCGCGCAAAUUACCCAAUCCCGACACGGGGAGGUAGUGACAAUAAAUAACAAUACGGGGUUCUUUCGGAUCUCGUAAUUGGAAUGAGUACAAUUUAAAUCUCUUAACGAGGAACAAUUGGAGGGCAAGUCUGGUGCCAGCAGCCGCGGUAAUUCCAGCUCCAAUAGCGUAUAUUAAAGUUGUUGCAGUUAAAAAGCUCGUAGUUGAAUUUCGAGAUCAAAUUGUUGGUCGUGCCUUGGUAUGUACUGGCAUUGUUGGUUUCUCCCUUCUGAAGAACCAUGAUGUCAUUAAUUUGGUGUCAUGGGGAAUCAGGACUGUUACUUUGAAAAAAUUAGAGUGUUUAAAGCAGGCUCGCGCUUGAAUACAUUAGCAUGGAAUAAUGAAAUAGGACGUUUAAUUCUAUUUGUUGGUUUCUAGGAUUGACGUAAUGAUUAAUAGGGAUAGUUGGGGGCAUUAGUAUUCAAUUGUCAGAGGUGAAAUUCUUGGAUUUAUUGAAGACUAACUACCGCGAAAGCAUUUGCCAAGGAUGUUUUCAUUAAUCAAGAACGAAAGUUAGGGGAUCGAAGACGAUCAGAUACCGUCGUAGUCUUAACCAUAAACUAUGCCGACUAGGGAUCGGAUGAUGUUAAUUUUUUAAUGACUCAUUCGGCGCCUUACGGGAAACCAAAGUGUUUGGGUUC
rnacentral:rRNA from 1 species